rnacentral:rRNA from 1 species
GCAAGUCGAGCGGACUGAUUAAGACUUGCUCUUAUGACGUUAUCGGCGGACGGGUGAGUAACACGUGGGCAACCUGCCCUGCAGAUCGGUAUAACACCGAGAAAUCGGUUCUAAUACCGGAUAAUUUCUUAGACCUCAUGGUCUUAGAGUAAAAGAUGGCUCCGGCUAUCACUGCAGGAUGGGCCCGCGGCGCAUUAGCUAGUUGGUAAGGUAACGGCUUACCAAGGCGACGAUGCGUAGCCGACCUGAGAGGGUGAUC